rnacentral:rRNA from 1 species
UACGUAGGGGGCUAGCGUUGUCCGGAAUCAUUGGGCGUAAAGCGCGCGUAGGCGGCCCUGUUAGUCCGCUGUAAAAGUCAAAGGCUCAACCUUUGAAUGCCGGUGGAUACUGCAGGGCUAGAGUCCGGAAGAGGCGAGUGGAAUUCCUGGUGUAGCGGUGGAAUGCGUAGAUAUCGGGAGGAACACCUGUGGCGAAAGCGGCGCACUGGACCACAACUACGCUGAGGCGCGAAAGCUAGGGGAGCAAACAGG